UUUAACGAAGGCAGCAUCGCUUCGCAGACUAGAAAACAGGCAAUAACUCAAUUGCUCAUGUACAUGGGAAUCAAAUAGAAGGAAAGUAACCAUGGCUGAGCAAAUUUCAUUUGCAAAGACAGAUUUAAACCUACUGAAGAAAGAGUAAAGAUACUCAAGGGACAUUAGUGGACCUUGUUGUCAGACGCUGUGCCUAAACUUGGUUAUUUUCCAUUGUUUUUUUUGUUUGUUUUUUGUUGGGGUUUUUUUUUGGUGACGCUCCCAUAUUUGAUAACCCCUGUAUGUGAAACAAAGCUGCACUACUUAUUUGUGGGCAAUAAUAUUUCUCCCAGCAAAUGAACAUAACUGACGAAGAUGCCUCCCUUUCCUCCCACAGGAUUUGGUCGCACCCUGGCACACUGCUACUAGCUUGAGUCUGGUUCCAUCUGAUUUUUUUUAAUUAUCCGUGGGAGAAGAGGAAAAAUGUAAUAGCAGUUUCAUUCAUGGAUGAAUGACCACUAUGUAUGUUUGAAAAAGCUGUACACAGACAAACAAACAAAAACCAGGAAAAAAAAACCUAAACAAACAAAAAACAACAAAACAAACAAACAAACACCAAUCAAACCCAGAACAACCCAAUCCGAUCUGCAACCUGGUGUAACUUCCUUGCACUGCUCCGGUCUUGUCACCGCAUAGGAUUAACGGGAGCCGUCAAUGCUGGUAAUCCUAUUCUAGAGCGACCUCUCGUGUUUUGUUCGUUAACUUCUGUUUAUAUUAUUUAUUUCUUUUACCUGUUAAUAGUUUCUUGUAGGGUUAUGAAAAUAUCAUCAAAUAUCUUUCUUUGGAUGCCGGUUUUGCUCUGUGCAGCAAGCUCAGUUACAUUCCCUGCCUCAUGCUUGUUGCUUAGUCAAUGCGCUGCAUUGCACUGACUCCCUUUUUUUUUUUUCCUGAAAUGAUCCCAACAGCACUAGCAAGAGGAUUUCCCCCCUCUUUUAAAUUAAUUUUCAUGUAUAUUCACUUCUGUUCGGAGUCUUCACCUUUCAGUGAAAUGACCAGAUGUCUCAGAAAGCCUGGAGCAAUGUUGGCAUCAGGAGACUUCGCCCCCAUCCUGAGUGACUGCAGACUGAGAUGCCAAUAUGUUCUGGUUUGUAAUGGAUGAUUGAUUUGCAAGACUGUUUUGCUAUGAUUCUCCCUUGCUUAAAGAAGCAUAGGGCUUUUUUUUUUUUUUUUUAAUACCAAGCAGUAUUUCCCGUCUGCAGUCUCAUGUCCAACAAAUCCAAACAUAUUACUCUUCUAACUAGCUGCUUUUUUUUUUUCUUUUUCUUCCUGAAAAGGGGUUAAUAUUAUCUGAAUCUUUAAUAGCAGAAAAAUUAAGUUGGGGAAAUAGUCAGCUCAGUAACCUAAAUACCUUUGAAUGUACAAGGACCUUCCAUGGUGAAGGAGGUGGAAGUCCCCGCACCUCAGCAGCUAUGGGGAUAGAGAGCCACACUUUCUGUUUUCUCCUUUGGUCAGCUGUGCACUUCUUUCUGCUUCUCUCAUCUCACACGUUGGAUCCAAAAGUCUAACAUCCAGACUUCUUAAGGCUUUGUGAGCUGUGUCAUCAGGCACCAUCAACAACCCUGUGGUGAUACCCCUCAGGUUCUGCCAGGGUGUGAAGUUGUGCAGACAUGUUCCACCUGUGCUAGCGUUAGAAAGUUCUCUGUGUCCAGUGAAAAGACCAGAAAAUGGUUUCUCUGUGUGUAACCCCUCUCCCUAUGAAUGUUCACCUCUGAAAAAACAGUACAGCCCAGGCCACCUCUGGGGAGAAAACUGGGAAUAGCCAGAAAGUCAGAGUUCAGACCUUAGUGGCAGCUGGUGUAAGACUGGAAGUGGGAUUUAGAAGUUACAACCUCCAGUUUAUAGUCCCUUGUCUUUUCCCUGAGAAUUGAAGUACAGCUUGGUUGAACAAUAGUAAAAUCACUAAUUUAAUGCAUUCCAGUCCCCCAGAGCUUUUUAAUGCAUGCUGCAAAUUAAUUACACAACUUUUACAACUAACAGGGACUGAGCUUUUAAUUCCUUAUGCAGUGGAGAGUGUGCUAUAACAUAACCUGCCAACACACAUGUUACUCCUCCUUACAGACUUGCUAUGCUGGUCUGGCAAGAGAAAGGAGCCUCCAAGUAAGUGGGUAAUCAGAUUCUUAAUGUUUUAAAGCAGGAACAGGCUCUCACAGAACAACACUCACAAAUGAUGUGCUUUUAGGUGCCAUGAUUGGUGUUCUAUUUUAAAAAACUCCAGUAUUAUUUUUCUUGCAGGACUGUGGCUGAAGCCCCUUUGGGUUGUAAUAAAUUAAUGGAAGGCAGGCACCCACGGCCCCAUCCACUCAGUAAGGGCAAUCUUUAAAGGCAGUAAGGUGUGACGCUCCAGACUGGCAGCUUGGCAAGAAAGAGCCCAUGGAUACCAGCACACAGGAAUCUGGAGGGUUCACUCUGACAGGCAGUCAGUACUGGGAACAAAAGGAAUUAAAAAAAAGAAAAAAAAGAAGCAAAUAUAUUUUUACAUAUUGCAGGCAUAUGGCCACAAGACCAGCAGAAAUAUAUUUAAUUACUGAUUUUGUGUGUUAAACAGAAAUAAUAUACCAACAGCAGUACCUUAUUUUUUCCCCCUUAGAUUAAAAAAAGUAAAUGAAGGGAGGUUUCUAGAACAUAGUUUAUUAAUGAUGAUGCAUUUCACCUCCAUUUACACUUCUUACCCCAUUUUUACAGUCAUUUGCAAAUAGAAUCUGAUUGCUUGAUUUUAGACUAGUGUGAUUAUUUUAGCAUGAUUUUCUUUUUAGAUGGACAUUUUUAAAUGCAACUAGGCUAUUUACCAGACUUUUUGUUGCCUCAUUUUAGAUCAAACACUUCAAACAUACAACAUAGACUUCCUACAAGUUUUACAACUAAUAUUAAGUGUAAAUGCAAACAGUGUUAUAACUAAACUGACUUGUAAGUAUCUGAAAGUUUUGUAGCAAAUGAAAAUAUAAAUCUCACUGUGGUACCUGUGUUUCAGGCUACAUAACAAUGCUGUACCCAGCUGUUUUCCGCAGAACUUACAAUUACAGUAAAUAUAUGUUCCAUGAUGGCUGGCUAAGGGGUUCACUGGCAAAAAAACAAGGAGCCUAAAGCAGGAUGGCUGUGGAAGGUCCAAAGUUGCAAUGCAAAACUCCCAAACCUGUUAGCCUUGAUGUGCCUGCCCAACACUUCUGAGAUGCCCACGUGCCCAGAAACGUGCUCCUACCCUGCGCCACACCUUCAAGCAAGCUGAUACCAAUUUCCAGCUUAUUGAAGUACAAGGACCCGGAAGCCUCUCUAUUCCACUAUUUCUCUUUCAUCAGCGUCUUCAGCAGGAAACGUAUGUUACAAGCAUGCCUCGUGGAUAUAAACAGGAUUAAACCUUUCAGGAAAUGCUGUUGUGGCCAUUUCCUUCUAAAAUAAUGUGCUGCUGGGGUUUAUGCAGCAAACCAGAGUCCUCAACCUGGGGCAACCAAAUAUGAUACCCUUCUCAGUCUGAUGGGAUUCAAACCCACCAUCACUCAAGGAAGUGCUCUAACCAACUGGUUGUAGAGUGUUUGGCACGGGAAGAGGACAUAUCUGCACCUCUCCUGGUAGAGCUAUGCUGUCGUCUCUAGGCACUACCUAAACACCUGAAGUAUAUCUAUGUAGCAGCAAUGAAGUUAUCAAGAGAAUCAAAAUUUCCAGCUCCAAAGCUGAGGCUGUCAGACCUGCCCAGUGUGAGAAUGGGAAUGAGCCCGGGGACCGGGCUGAAGCUCAAGACUUCUCUGCUCCUUGUCCCAACGGCACAGUAAAAACCCAAGACUCCAGCUCUCCUUCUCCUUUUCUUGCACAAGAAAAUAAAGAUCUGCUCAUUUUACAUGGUGGGUAAAUCCCAUCAACAUCUACCAGGGCUGAGACCACAAAGUGCAAUCAAUGAUGAGCCCAAGUGACACAGCAUUACCACCCACCUUCCCUUAAGGAGGCCAGGCCUGAGAGGCAGGUGAAGGUAAGGAGAGAGGCCAAGAGAAAUGGCUGUCCCAAAUGGAGAUGUCCUGCUCCCUCUCCACACCUCCACAUCCACAGGAGAGUUUGAGGCAGCAAGGGAGAAAACAGUAUUAGAGUACAGACUCCCAUAUGGAUCCCAUAAUCUCUUGCAAUGUUAAUUCCUUUGCUGCCCUAUGUUUACAAAGAAUUUUCCUCUUGUUUCCUAGUUAAUUAAGAAUUUCACUUUGUCACUACUAAUGGCUUCAUCAUCCUAUUCAAUUAAUGAAAUGAAAUUAUCAAGUGUUUCAUUUGUCCAGUACAUCAUGUUUUGUAGAAUAAUGUUUGUAUGUAGCAUUAUGAAACAGGAGAGACAAGUAGAGAUCAUGUCUGCUAAUUUUGUGUGAGAGAAGAAAAAGGGGUGACAUUGCAUCCUCUAAAUGGUGUCAGAUGAUGCUUUAUUUUAUAUGCACUUGAUUAUCCGAGUUAAAUAGGAGUCACUUAACAAUGUGUACUUUAUAAUAGUGAGGAAAUUUUGGGUACUGUAAAUGUGUAACUGGCCAUUUGGAUUUAGCCCAAGGUGUUGUCAAAUAGAGAAUAAAGGUCUGUUUUCAUAAAUGGGUAAGCUGUUACGGUGAUCACACAGCUGUAUCACUUGUCCUUGUAUUUUUGGGAUAUGGUAGAGUUACUAUAACACAUCUUAAAGAAAAGAAGGACUAUGGGUAUUCAACAUCACUAUUGUUACUGGUGUUUUUAGUAUUCCCCAUUUUACAAUGAGGAGCUAGAUUUGACAAUGCUAUGCAGCGUUGCUACAGCUCUUGUUACUCAGCUGACUUCUAAAAUCAGCCUGACAACAACUUCUCUGGCUUGCAGCUGUGAAUGGUUGGUGCCACGGAUUGUGAUCCCUUGUCUCUUUCUGAGCUGCCAGGAUACACUGCUUGCCACUAGCUACAGCGCAGUCUUUGAGAGCACGCUGUAAUUCAUCGCUUAACUUGCUGCUUCUCACACUGUCUUUCAGUGUUUUUAGCUGGACAUGCUCUGUCUACUUAAUAUCUGCUGGCACGGUGUUGAGUAUUUUGACGGAUGAAAGAAGUUGCAUACUUUGUGCUAGGAGCAAGAUUUGGAGUAAGGGUUGAGAGUGUAAUUUGGAAGAGGGGAAGGGGUGCUUGAGAACAGGAGGACAUUAAAUUUAGUCUUUAUUGUAGCCUUUCACAGAGGGAAUAGCUCUGGCUUUCUCUAAAGCAGUGACUGGAUUUUUCCUAGUGGUCGUUUUCACUGACUAACCCAGAGGUAAGGACCCUCCUCCUCUAUGGAGAGUCUGAUUAAAUCUUAGGAUUAUCAGAUCAGAUGCCAUCACUCUUUCAUAUUGGCUAUGUCUCUAGGAGUAAACUAAACAAGACUAUUCCCUAGCCUCAAGGCCAUCUGGCACAGUGAAGUCUAUAGCCACAUUAUUAACACUUGAAGCAUGCUGAAGAAUAGUUUGGAGGGGUGCUAGCUGGGCCAGGCCAAAACUGUUCUUAGAAUUACACAUUCAGCUUUCAGUGUGAGGGAAGUUUCCUUUGCACUAUUUAAUAUAGUGAUAUAGUAAGUAGCACCUUAAUUGUCUGUUUCAUCUGCUGAAUAAUGAAAAUAGAAGUUGGUAGCCAGUGAAUGAAUAGUAGAAGCAGAGCUUUGGUGUUGUACACAGGCAGUCAAAAAUCAGGAUUCCUAUGCCUGUGAAGAAAACACGUGGGACGCUGGUAGAUCAGAUGGCCUAUGCUCUCUACCAGUGUAAACUAGCUGAUGAUUUAACAUUUAUCUGUUGUCAACAAGAGACCAGAACACUGAGCCCCUUCCAGAGCUUCAUAUUUCUAUUUAGUGUGAAAAUAAAAGCCUCUGGCAAUAGCAGAGAUAGUCUUCAGGUUACAAGAAAAUGGGUACUUUAGAAGAUGCCUAACUUACUCAAGAGCAAAUAGCGUAGUAGGCAGCUUCUCAAACUUCUUGGUUGGAUUUUUUUUUUUGACACCAUACUUUGUGCAUUCUUGUCAUGCAUUGCCAACAUGCCAUAUGCUUACAACACAUGGUAAAAGCAUGGGUAAGAAAAUGUGAUUGUGACAUGUAAAGACAACUCUGGAUCCGUAAUACUUUUGAGCUAAAAUACAUUUGUGCAUUUGUUAUAUAAGUUUAGAGGAUUUUUUUUUUUUUUUUUAAUCGAGCACUUUGGAUGUAUAUCAUUGAAAAGGACAGAGUAAUUUCAACUUAGCAAACUCCAUGCAAAGAGAACAAGGACUGUACUAAGUGGUUAGCAGUCGUCGAGACUUCAAUGCUGUAGCCCACAGUUUGCCACUGAUUCUCAGAAGUGAAGGCUAGUCGCUUGAGUGUCCUCUGUCAGUUUACUGCUCUGUAAAAGCAGAUUUCACUAAUUUUACAUUGUUUAAAAAUUACAUGUGUAUACCAAAGAAUUGAACUUCUGUAUUUAUAAUGUAAUCGUGGAAUGGCCAGCUUAGGUCUUCUCCUUCUCUGUAUAUAAAGAGGCAGCUCCUGUCUCAAGGAGCUUAUAUAAUAGCAUGAAGAGAUAAGACAGAAAAUGAGUGGGAGAGAAAAGGAGCUAAUGAGAGGUAAAAAAGAUUUGCCUAAGGUUAGUCACACAACACUCCCUGACAGAUUUGGAAUAAAAUCCAGGCUUUCUGCAUUCCCGACCAGUUUCAGACUCACUAGACCUUGCUGUCUUCAGCUAUCACUGUUACUCAUCUCCCUGGAGAACCAGGGAGCCUAGCAGCUGUCCCUGGGUACUGUCAUAUGAAGCCGGCUCCUCUUCUGAAGUUGUUGCAGGAAUUUGUCUUUCCAAACAUGCCACUGAUAAACCCAACUUUAUUGGAGAAAAGUAGGUGAUAGAAAAAAAAGGGUGAGAAAUUGCAGUUAGGGAACUUAACCUACUGAUGCAGUUAGGAAGAUGGUCUCUAUAGGAUCCAGCAGUGACUGAGCAGAGAGAGAGGCACUUUCAUAAGGAUAUUGAGUGAAAGAACAUAGCUACAGUACUUGAGUCAGACCAGUCUUCCAUGUACGCAUAUUUAUAAGUGUGAACAUUGAGGCUUGGAAAUUACUUGAUAUAGUUGAUUGAAAAACAUUGUAUUACUUAACCCCACUAAAGAUAUUAGUAUGGAGGCAAGAUUACCUGCUACCAACCCAUAUGCAGACUUCUCAGAGAUGACGCAUAGGUUACAAAUUUUACCACAGUCACCCAGGCACAAGACACUGCAAACCCUGUGCUAGUCCGUUCCUUGUCUCUCUCUUUGCCUCCCUUCUCUUAGCAGGCCACUGGGCUCGUCACAAACUCAGAGAAGAGAGAAAGGAAGGCUACACUUCAUUUAUCAUCCCUUCAAACUUUAAAACCCAAGUGGUCCCUCAGAUCAGACACGUUUGAUUUAAUUCAUUCAUCUAACAAUAGAAAACAGAGCCAAGGCUAACAUACAUUUUUGUUCAUUUACCGUGCCCCCAGAGGUUUCAUAAUGGAGUUUACUGAUACCUUGUUGGCAAUGAUGGUGAAAUACUCCAGACUUUUACCUCAAGAGAUUUCAGCAUUCAUGCUGACAGGAGUGCGGAUAUAAAAAAAAUCACAGAACUGAUGUCUUCACUUCCCUAUCUGCAUUCCUGGGGUUUAAUACAUUUACUCCUGUGUUGUAUCAGGGCUUGCCUAAAGAGACUGUACUGAAAACACCAAAUAUAUGAGUCUGCUCCUCCCCAACUUAUGAAAAGGGAGGUUGUGAAAAACUGGUGCUGCUCAUGGCCAAUACAUGCAAUGCCUUUGUCAGGAAAGGGAGUUUCCCCAUCCUCCUUUGAAAUGUGGAAUAGUGCAACCCACAGUGAAGAAACUAAUUUUGGGUACAUCUGUCUCAGCUCCAGGUUCUCCCGCAGGGUGCCUUCUAAAAGCAGUGGAGGGUGCACCUUUGUAUCAUGAGGACAUGAGUUUUCUCCUUGCAGAAUCUCCCUAUGCAGGUAGUAGCAAAACGUGAGGCAAAAUAAACUCAAUCAACUGAAAAUAAACUCAACUAACAGGUGACAGAUAAAGCCCUAAAUUGCUUUUCAUGACACAUGGCUUUGCAUUUUCUUCUGUGGUGACCCACUGCUUUAGAACAGUGUUGUCUGAAGUGAUGAAGCUGCAUGACUCAUCAAUGAUGGUAAAGUUCUCUUGGAAAGGUUUCACAGAACUUGGUUUUUCACCAUUGACUUUUAACAUUUCUGCUUGGCAUCUGUAUUUGUCAGCCAGUCCUUAUUUAAACGUUUCUUUCACUUUCGACUGAGCACAGUGUACGUAUACAAUGUGAUCUGGUAUUCAUGAAAUCACCAGCAGGACACACGCUGGAACAUAUUUGAACAAUAGAUGCAUUGUGUGGAUGCUAGGCACUCUUCACAAGUGGUGACUUCAUGAAGAGCAAGGUUAUUCUUAAUUCUUCAUGCCUUGUAUUCAAGGUGCUCAGUUGCUAUCCUUUUAUUUGUAAAGAAAUUGUUUACAACUCCAGACUAAACCUGUUGUACAGAGCCAACAACACAGUGGUAGUGAAAAAAUUCAGGAGAGCCUGACAACUAAUUUAGCCCCAAAGCUGUGCAACCUGAUUGAAUUAUUGGCACACCUGAUAAAGUGAGAGCUGGGUGGAGAGCUGAUAAAGGGUUGAAAAGAAGGGGAUAUUACUCCAGGGCCUGACCUCAUCUGCUGGUGUUUUGUGGCUAGUACCCUUGAUCCUGUGGUAGGCCUCUCUCCACAGGCAAAGGGGUUUGGCCUCCUCGCCAGGCACCUGGGCUUUGGAGUUAUAGGGGGUGUUUGCCUAAAAUUUCCAGAAGACUCGUCUCAGAAGGGCCAUCUAACAUGAAAGACUUAGAAUAAGGUAAAGAUUUUUUUUGUUGUUGUUGAUAGUGAACUUUUUGUGUAUUUUUUUGUUGUUGCUGUUUUUGUAGUUUCAUAAGAAAUUAAAAAUGGACUAUUAUGACACCAGUUAAUGUGCAAAUUUAACAAAAUAUGAGCUAUUUGAGGCACUAUUAUGUUGGAAUAAAGUGGGCAGGUAGUUGAUGAUUAAAUUGGAGAUGGCCUUUUUCUCUGAGAUCUUAACAAAGAAAUUUAGACCCUGAAGAGAAAACGCCAAAAUAAUUUUCCAGGCUUUGUCACUGGCUUUAGUGGUACUGGUCCUCUGUACACAGAUAUUCUCCUAACACUCUUUUUGGCCUGAAGGUGCAGAAGCACAGUGUCACAAUCCUAAGAGGAAAGAAUCCCCAAAGGUGAUAGCAAACCUCUAGGAGAGAAGGGAAAACCUGCACCCAGUUGUGAUGCAGCUUUCUAUGAUUAAAUACCCCAGAUCUCUGUGGAAGUGCUUAUAAUGAGAAUUUUGGUCUUUUCAUUUUGCUGUCAGAUUCAAAUCUAUAUCCCUCCUGUUGUCAAGGUUUUCGAACCUUGAAUUUUAAUUUUGAUGGAUUUAUCACCAGCCACCUUUUGCACACAGUUGUUUCCAUUUAUUUCUGGACGUACUGGCUGUGCUGGGAUAACAAAUGGUAGGAGAAGGUAUUAACUUAAAUGAGCUACAUGAAACAGAUUUCUGUCCGUGUCCCCUCGGCAUUUCUUGAUAACAACACUGUCAACAGAUCUAAACAUUGUCAAGAUGUGUGAAAAGAAGCUAAGUUUAUGCCUGUGACUAGAACUUUUCAGAGAAUGGGCUUCAAAAAGUUUUCAGGAUUUUAUUUUUUCAACAAGCAGGCAGAAUUUCCUUAGAAAGUAGAGACUUUUUGUAAGAAUUUAAUUUUAGUCAGAAUGCCAGUUUUACUGUUGGAAGAAUUUUGUUGGGAAAAAGUUGACAGGCUCUUGGUGAGUGAUUUCAACAUUUCAUUGUAUAAAUUAGUGUGUCUGCUAAUGGAAAAGAGUCCAGCUUAGACUUUAAAGAAUUCUAGUGGAUGGCUGUGACCACAGUUUCACCAAUACUCUGUAUUUUUUACAAUGCUGCAAACAUGGCCUUCAUCAGGUGCUCCGUGGAGUAAGUAGUUAGGGUAGGUCAGAAAGAGAGAACAACAUUGCAUGUAAGAUUGAAAUAUGAUUUUACUCAAAGGACAAAAUUAAUCUCUGCAUAGUUUUGUAAUGCUUUUGCACAAAGAUGAAGUACCAUUGUAGUUUAUCAUCUUUGACAUUAACACAAGUCUUUCACCCUAGCUUCCCCAAAAUAAAUUUUACCCAGCAGUCUGUGUCUUUAAGAAAAAGCAAAAGGAAAGCCCCUAAUGUAAUUGUCUUCCUGGGGAGAGGAAGAAAGAACAAAUGUGUGAUGUGCUAGCCAUGUUGUUUAAUGCUCUAAGGAUGGUGUUCUGAUACUAUAGUGAUGAAGGCAACACAACAGAUGGAAUAUAAGUACUUUUUGCUAAAAUGUCAUGGGAUCAUGUCAAAAUGAUAUAUAUGGUACCCAGCAUAUAGUUCUCCAAGAAAAGCUUUUAUGUAACAAAACAAUACAUGACGAUGUGUAACUGCAUUCCACUGAAAUUCUUAGCUUGACCCAAGGGAGUGGCAGGAAAAUAUGCCAGGGGAGGUUUGGGUUGGACAUUAGGAAAAGGUUCUUUCCCCAGAGGGUGGUGGAGCACUGGAACAGGCUCCCCAGGGAGGUGUCACGGCCCUAAGCCUGACAGUGUUCAAGAAGAGACUGGACAAUGUCCUCAGACACAUGGUGUGAACUGUGGGGUUGGACUUGAUGAUCCUUGUGGGUCCCUUCCAACUCAGGAUAUUCUAUGAUUCUAUGAUUUCUGCUAGCAUAGGAAAUACAAUUAUUUAUGUAUGUUUAUAAACAUUCUUUAUUACAUUAAAUAUAUUCCACCUUCUGUA